AACUUACCAAUAUUUUCCUAUUAAUUUCCAAGUUAAGAAACUUGUCAUUAUUCCAUAGGUCAAAUAAAUACAUAUUGAAUAUUCUGCUAGUUUUCCCCAUUGAAAUUUUAUUUUAGUUGUGACUCUUUACCUGUGAGGUAUUUGUUUUACUGUAUGAUCUAAAGUGUCAUUUCUCAGAGUGUAGUUCAGGGAUUACCUGCAUCAGAGGCAUAGAGCUUUCUUGUUAAACGUGCAGAUUACCUGAGUCAGAAUCUCUAGGAAUAGAAACUGGGAAUACACAUUUUCUACAAAUUUCUCAGAUGAUGAUUAAAUUAGGAUCCUGUUGCUGCUAUGGAAAUUACCACAACUUUUGGCGUAAAACAACACGAAGUUAUGGCCUCACAGUUCUGGAGGCAGAAGUUUAAAGUGGGUCCUCUGGAGAUUCUAGGGGAAAGUCUGUCUUCUUGACAUUUUUUAGCUUCUGGAGGCCUCCUGUAUUCCCUGGUUUGUAGCUGCUUUUGCCAUCUCCAGAGCUAGCAGUGUAGUAUCUUCUGUUCUCUCUGACCGCCUGCCUCUCUUUUAAAAGGAUUUGUGAUUAUGGUGGUUCCACCAGGAUAAUCUAGGUAAAAACCCCUGUCUCCAAUCUGUUAAUUUAGCCACAUCUGCAAAGUUACUUUUGAAAGUAAAGUUAUAGGCUCCAGAGAUUGGGACAUGGACAUCUUUGGUGGGGGGCUAUUAUUCUAUCACAAACCUUAGACAAAUUAAAAUUUGAGAACUACUGUUGUAUGGUACUCAGUGUUUUCCCCUCAGUCACUAUAUGUACUUAAAUUGUUAUUAAGUAACCUGUUUUGUCUUUAAAAGCUUAUGUAAGAUAAAGGCCUUACAGUUUUAUAUGUAAUUAGUUGUUUCGGGAGCUUGCCAUUUUAUUUUAGUAGCCUGUUAAAAUUAUCUAACAAAAUUAAAAAAUGGCAAUCCUCCUCUAGUGUUUUUGUAUUUAUCUGUGAAUUUAAAAGCUGUUAAAGGUACAUGUAUCCCACAUGUGUCUUUGUUUUGAUUCCCACCUUCCCAGUUUUGAAAAAUUUGAUUUAAAAAAUCAAAGUAGUAGUAGUACAGAAGUAGUAGAAGCAAACUUUAAGAAGUAGAUAGAAGUAGUACAUGGUGUUUGAAACAAAGCUUGAUUGCCUUUACAUCAGAGGGAUUUUUGCUGUUGCUGUAUAGACAUAUAUAACAUAGCAAACCCAUAUGCAACAUUAUAAAUAUCUAAAAUCAGACUUUAGACACAUAGGCUCACUUUGCCAUUCUUUUUUACAUAAAAUACAGGAUGCCCAGUUUAAUUCAAAUUUCAGAUAAAUAUAAUUUUGUAGUAUAAGUGUGUCCUAUACUGAAUUCUAACUUUUAAUGGAGCAUCCUGUAUUAUUAUUUGCUAAAUU